rnacentral:rRNA from 1 species
UACGAAGGGUGCAAGCGUUAAUCGGAAUUACUGGGCGUAAAGGGCGCGCAGGCGGCUCGUUAAGUUGGGCGUGAAAUCCCCUGGCUCAACUGGGGGAGGCCGUCCAAUACUGGGGGGCUUGAGUGCAGGAGAGGGAAGUGGAAUUCCCGGUGUAGCGGUGAAAUGCGUAGAUAUCGGGAAGAACACCAGUGGCGAAGGCGGCUUCCUGGACUGUAACUGACGCUGAGGCGCGAAAGCUGGGGGAGCGAACAGGAUUAGAUACCCGGGUAGUCC